GGAGAAAGCCCAGCGAGCGAGCCAGCAGCCCAGCGAGCGAGCCAGCAGCUCAGCGAGGAGCCAGACCAGCCAGACCAGAGAGAGUUACAGUCUUGUCCCAUCGCUGCAACUCCCGUACGGACUCGGGAGAGGUGAAGGGACAGAGCCGUGCGUCCUCCGAAACACAACCCAGCCAAGCCGCAAUGCUUCUUGACACAAUGCCCGCUUAACCCGGAAGCCAGUUGCACCAUGAUGUGUUGCAGGAAACACCGUACACCUGGGGACCUUGUCAGCGUGGAUUGCGCCCGGCCCGCCACAGGAGUCGCUAGUGCUCGAUGGGACAAGAACUUCCCUGUCGGCCAAACCCUCCCCUAACCCGGACGACGCUGGGCCAAUUGUGCGCCGCCCCAUGGGUCUCCCGGUCGCGGCCGUCUGCGACAGAGCCUGGAUCUCUAGUGGCACAGCUAGCACUGCGAUGCAGUGCCUUAGACUACUGCACCACUCGGGAGGCCUUAUAUUUUGGUGGGGAACGACAGUUGAACUAAGUGCAUGAGGUUCAUGGGGCAUCAUCACAGUGGACCAGUCCCCUCCGGUCCUCUCUGUCCAGCCUGGAGACACAAGACAUUGGCAAUGAUAUGGAGGUGCACCAGUUUAAACCUGGACAGGCACCCAAAACUCUUUUUAUGAUGGUAACCAGAGGUAUUUGUGCACACCCGGUCGGUUCAGUGGCCUCUAUACUGGAGCUCUCACCACCUUCACUAUCAGUUGAGUACAAGCAGAGGACGAAGCUUAGUAUUACUGACCAACACAGUGAAACAUUUCCAUCCACACAGUGAAAUACGGCUGUGCAUAAACCUCAGAUCACUGUUCUCAUAUGAGAAUGUUGCCAAGCUCCAGUGCACAGUUUAGCUUCAUUGAAAAACUGUUCCAUGCUUGUAACCUCGGUCUACACUAGACUCUACAUUCGGUCAAAACAGCCUCUCUCGUAUGUGCUAGAGCUCAUAUGGACAUUUGGGAUCUACAUUUUCUUAUUGAAAACAUGUUGUUUCUGGAUAUUUUGCUUCCAUCAAUAAUGACAUAUCUACUGUACAUGGACAACCUCUCAGACUCUUUAUGCAGGAGCUAUAAAGUCCCAAGUUACCUGGGACAUGAUACAGCUGAUCCUGGAAUAAAGGCUGUUAUGAUUUUUUAUUUAUUUACAUUGAUGGAUAUUGAAUUGAGAAAUGGGACCAGGCUAGGAAUCACUGUGAUGACAUGAUCAGUAUGGGAUGAUUCCUGGUGCUAAAUCUUUCAUCUGUAUUGAGCUAUUUGUGUACACAAAGAUACAUCCACUGGAUUGAUCAGUAAGGUCAUGCCACAGCCGCCACUCAGGUCAGUGUGUUUGCCCCAACUGGUAAGGACCUGACCAGAACUGGUGGUCAGACCACGCUGCUGUGUCUGAUCAAGUCACUGUGAGCUGGACAAUGGAUGGGAAGGGUGUCUCCGGAGAUCAACAGGACAGCCAGUCUAUACGUAUUCCUGCUAGGACUUACAGCACAAGCAGCACACUUGCUUUACCCCACUCUUACCUGGGAGUCUGGAGAGAAGUACAUCUGCCAGGUCCAGCAUUGAGCCAGAGGGAACCCAUCACUGGAACUCUUCUGAGGAACCAGUGUGUGAUGGAGAAGUUGCAUAUCUAUCUCUGUACUUUCAUGAAGUAUAGACAUACAGCUGGUGUUUUCCCUUCUGCUUUUCAAUAGAAUGGUUCUCUCACUGUAGCUAUAAGUGCAUUUGAUUACUUUGACUACAACUAACAAUGUUUCACUUUAGAAGGCUAUUUGAGAAGUGUAAUUACUUUUUCAUCUGAAAAUGACAUUUAUUAAGAGGCAUUUCUCUAUUUUCACUUACAUUCAAUUAAAACGUUAACACAUGAAUGAAUCAUCACAAUCUAUGAUGAAAUUAAAUGGUGUACAAUUGUUAGACAGUAUCGUUUUUGCUUGACAAUAAGCAUUUCAUUUAAAAAAAAGAAAAAUGCCUGAGCGUGACUUUUUGAUAGGUUGUUUGAUUAGCUUAUCGAGACAAGUGGGAGUGCUGGCAUGAAACAGGUUCUACUGCAUUGCUCAUGAUAGCGACACAUACCACAAAGCCACAACACCAUACCUCAUUCUCCUGUUGGAUGCUCUGUCAAAAAAGAUCGGUCAUAGAAAAUAUAUAAGCCACUGGCAUCUGCAAUCCAAUGUUGACAAAGUGCCACUUACCCAUCCCCAACGCUCCUAAAACCAUCCCUGCUGUUGUCCCUAUCGUACCUGCCCAUGUGGACCACCCCACUGCCACUGAUGCUGUGGCCCCAACAGACACCCCUGCUGCCCCUACCACCCCUAACAGUGCCCCUGAGGUCCCUCCCGCUCCCAGCACUACAGGGGAAGAGACCCUCACUACUAUCAGAAUGACCACUGCCAACCCAGCUGAUCCUACUAUAACCUUCCCCUUAUCUUCCCCCUUGCCCAAAGGGCCUCCUAUGGUGGCCCCUAAGCCUAGCUGACAUAGCUUUGACACAAAAAAUCCUGCGCCCAAGGCCUCUAGAGAAGAUCUGUGGUUCAUCUGGGUGCUAAUGUUCCCUCUUGAUAUAUCGUGACCAACCCUGCGCAUUUUGAUAGAUUCCGACACCACUUCCUGAUGUGCGUGCACAGUGAGCACCGCUAUGACAAACGUGGCAAACAUUCCCAUGCACCCUGCAAACAUCCAGAAGUAAAAAUUUGAUGAUUUCAUGAACAUGAAGGACAUGAACAGGACCAAAGCUAAAAGGACCACAAACACAAACCGGUAGUCCCCGAAUCCAAACACCCCAAAUCCUGCUGUGACCAUGGCGGUCAUAGUCAUGGGUAUCCCUGAAAACGCCAGGAAAUCCAUGUAUUUCACCACCACUUUGUUGAUCUGCUCUUGAAUGGUCCUUUGCUUAUUUACCUCCUCCAUCCAUUCUCUCCUCUUUCUCUCCAUCUCAUUUCUCUCUCUGUGCUGUGCCUCCCAGUUUGCUCUAUGCUCCAGGCCCUCUGUCCUCUGUCCUUCCUUGUCCAAUGUGACAAUUCUCUGCUCAAUCUCCACUGUCACUCUGUCUCUCUUCUUCACCUCCCUCGCCUCCAUCUCUCUCAGCUCUCUCUCCCUGGCCUCCAGAGAGCUCUGUCCCAGGCGGACACAGGACUCUCCUUGUCUCCAUAUGAACUUGAGAAGGAAGUGCAAAGCAGGUUUGAGCAGGGUGAAUAUGCUCAGUGCCCAGAGAAGUCCCACCAUCCCUGAGCCCACCACAACUGCCUCAAUGACGACUCCAAGUGUUGCUCCACUGGCUGUGGUCCCGAAAGCACCAGCCAGUCCAACUGCGAUCCACACAACCACAGAUUCUGCCUGGGAUGCUCCACCACCACUGCUCCUGGCACCCAGCAAUACGGAAGCCAUAGCCGCUGCGAAUAUGACCCCAGCCACCACUGAAGUCAUGACUGUGGUUAGUGCCGUUGCUCCCAGGAGGGUACCCAGUCCCAAGGGCCCCACAGUCUGGACUCCGUCAGACACAGGCUUAAGCAGGGCCCCUGAGGUCAUCACUGACAUAGCCUCAUUCACUGGCUCCUCAGUGGCCCCCAGCACACAGCCUCCCACCACUCCCAGGACAAAGCCCAGAACCGCUUCCAACAUGGGGCUCCUGGCCUCUGAAACAAAGCAGGAAAAGGGAGGGUCACUGACAAAAACACUGGAGGUGGUAUAACAGCUUUGUGGUAUAGUUUCUAUAUAUUGCCUGAAGAUGUGUAAUAAGUAAAUAUUGAUGAAAAAGUAAG
rnacentral:lncRNA from 1 species